ACUCAAAGGAAUAGACGGGGGCCCGCACAAGCGGUGGAGUAUGUGGUUUAAUUCGAAGCAACGCGCAGAACCUUACCUGGGCUUAACAUCCACUGACACCAGUAGAGAUAUUGGGUUCCCUUCGGGGACAGUGAGAUAGGUGCUGCAUGGCUGUCGUCAGCUCGUGUCGUAAGAUGUUGGGUUAAGUCCCGCAACGAGCGCAACCCUUGCCUUUAGUUGCCACCAUUAAGUUGGGCACUCUGAAGGGACUGCCGGUGUUAAACCGGAGGAAGGCGGGGAUGACGUCAAGUCCUCAUGGCCCUUACGUCCAGGGCUACACACGUACUACAAUGGCAGAGACAAAGCGUCGCGAAGCCGCGAGGUGGAGCUAAUCGCAAAAACACUGUCUCAGUCCGGAUUGAAGUCUGCAACUCGACUUCAUGAAGCUGGAAUCGCUAGUAAUCGCAUAUCAGCACGAUGCGGUGAAUACGUUCCCGGGCCUUGUACACACCGCCCGU
rnacentral:rRNA from 1 species